AUGGUGGAUGUUUCAGCAGGACUCAUGAUUGUGGAAGUCUCUUUUGUAGUAGAUGUUUCUGCUUCACUAGUGGUGGAUAUUUCAGGUGUAGUUGUGAUUGUUAAAGUCUCUAAUGUUGUAGAUGUUUCUGCUACAAUGAUAGUAGAGGUUUCAGCUGGAAUUGUUGUGAUUGUGGAAGUCUCUGUUGUUGUAGAUGUUUCUACUUCACUAGUGGUGGAUGUUUCAGGAGGUGUCGUUAUUGUGGAAGUUUCUUCUGAAGUAGAUGUUUCUGCUUCAGUAGUGGUUGAUGUUUCAGCAGGCGUAGUGAUUGUGGAAGUCUCUGUUGUUUUAGAUGUUUCUGCUACACUAAUGGUGGAUGUUUCAGCAGGACUCAUGAUUGUGGAAGUCUCUUUUGUAGUAGAUGUUUCUGCUUCACUAGUGGUGGAUAUUUCAGGUGUAGUUGUGAUUGUUAAAGUCUCUAAUGUGGUAGAUGUUUCUGCUAAAAUGAUAGUGGAUGUUUCAGCUGGAAUUGUUGUGAUUGUGGAACUCUCUGUUGUUGUAGAUGUUUCUGCUACACUGAUAAUAGAGGUUUCAGCAGGAAUUGUUGUGAUUGUGGAAGUAUCUGUUCUGGCAGAUGUUUCUACUUCACUAAUUGUGGAUGUUUCAAUGGCAGUUGUUGUGAGUGUGGAAGUCUCUGUUGUUGUAGAUGUUUCUGCUACACUGAUAGUAGAGGCUUCAGCAGGAAUUGUUGAGAUUGUGGAAGUAACUAUUGGUGUAGAUGUUCCUGCAGCACUAGUGGUGGAUAUUUCAGCAGGAAUUGUUGUGAUUUUGGAAGUCUCUGUUGUUGACGACGUAUCUGUAGCACUAGUGGUAAAUGUUUCAGCAGGAAUUGUUGUGAUUGUGGAAGUAUCUGUUCUUGUAGAUGUUUCUACUGGCCUAAUUGUGGAUGUUUUAACCACAGUUGUUGUGAGUGUGGAAGUCUCUGUUGUUGAAGAUAUUUCUGCUUCACUAGUGGUGGAUAUUUCAGCAGGUGUCGUUUUUGUGGAAGUCUCUUUUGUAGUAGAUGUUUCUGCUACACUGAUACUAGAGGUUUCCACAGCAAUUGUUGUAAUUGUGGAAGUCUCUGUUGUUGUAGAUGUUUCUGCUGCACUAGUGGUGGAUGUUUUAGCAGGAGUGGCUGUGAGUGUGGAUGUUUCUGCUGCACUAGUGGUGGAUGUUUUAGCAGGAGUUGCUGUGAUUGUGGAUGUGUCUGUUGUUGUAGAUGUUUCUGCUGCACUAAUAGUGGAUGUUUCAGCAGGAAUUGUUGUGAUUGUGGAAGUCUCUGAUGUUGAAGAUGUUUCUGUUGCCCUAGUGAUGGAUGUUUCAGUGGGAAUUGUUGUGAUUGUGGAAGCCUCUGUUGUCGAAGAUUUUUCUGCUACACUUAUAGUCGAUGUUUCAGCCACCGUUGUUGUGAUUGUGGAAGUCUCUGUUGUUGAAGAUAUUUCUGCUACACUAGUGGUGGAUGUUUCAGCAGGAGUCGUGAUUGUGAAAGUCUCUGUUGAUGUAGAUGUUUCUGCUUUACUAGUGGUGGAUGUUUCAGUGGGAGUCGUUAUUGUGGAAGUCUCUGUGGUUGCAGAUGUUUCUGCUGUACUAGUUCUGGAUGUUUCAGCAGGAGUCUUUAUUGUGGAAUUCCCUGUUGUAGAAGAUGUUUCUGCUACACUAACGGAGGAUGUUUCAGCAGGAGUCAUGAUUGUGGAUGUCUCUUUUGUAGUAGAUAUUUCUGCUUCACUAGGGGUGGAUAUUUCAGGUGUAGUUGAUUUGAUAGUUGAAGUCUCUGUUGUUGUAGAUGUUUCUGCUACACGGAUAGUGGAUAUUACAGCUGGAGUUGUUGUGCUUGUGGAAGUCUCUGCGGUUAAAGAUGUUUCUGCUGCACUAGUGGUGGAUGUUUCAGAAGGAAUUGUUGUGAUUGUGGAAGUCUCUGUUGUUGUAAAUGUUUCUGCAGCACUAGUAGUGGAUGUUUCAACAGGAGUCGUGAUUGUGGAAGUCUCUUUUGUUGUAGAUAUUUCUGCUUCACUGAUAGUAGAUAUUUCAGCAGGAGUAGUGAUUAUGGAAGUCUCUGUUGUUGUAGAUGUUUCUUUUGCAAUAGUGGUGGGUGUUUCAGCAGGAAUUGUUGUGAUUGUGGAAGUCUCUGUUGUUAUAGAUGUUUCUGCUGCACUACUGGUGGAUGUUUCAGCAGGAGUAGUUAUUGUAGAAGUCUCUGUUGUUGUAAAUGUUUCUGCAGCACUAGUGGUGGAUGUUUCAGCAGGAGUCGUGAUUGUGGAAGUCUCCAUUGUUGUAGAUGUUUCUGCUACACUGAUAGUAGAGGUUUCAGCAGGAAUUGUUGUGAUUGUGGAAGUCUCUGUUGUUAUAGAUGUUUCUGCUACACUAGGGGUGGGUUUUUCAGCAGGAAUCGUUAUUGUUGAAGACUCUUUUGUUGUAGAUAUUUCUGUUUCACUGAUAGUAGAUAUUUCAGCAGAAGUAGUGAUUGUGGAAGUCUUUGUUAUUGAUGAUGUUUCUGUUGCACUAGCGGGGGAUGUUUUAGCAGGAGUUGCUGUGAUUGUGGAUGUGUCUGUUGUUGUAGAUGUUUCUGCUGCACUAGUGGUGGAUGUUUCAGAAGGAGUUGUUGUGAUUGUGUAAGUCUCUGUUGUUGUAAAUGUUUCUGCAGCACUAGUGGUGGAUGUUUCAGCAGGAAUUGUUGUGAUGGUGGAUAUCUGUGUAGUAGAUUUUUCUGCUGCACUAGUAGUGGAUGUUUCAGCAGGAGUUGUUGUUGUGGAAGUCUCUGUUGUAGUAGAUGUUUCAUUUGCAAUGGUGGUGGGUGUUUCAGCAGGUGUUGUUGUGAUUGUGGAAGUCUCUGUUGUUAAAGAUGUUUCUGCUGCACUACUGGUGGAUGUUUCAGCAGGAGUAGUUAUUGUAGAAGUCUCUGUUGUUGUAAAUGUUUCUGCAGCACCAGUAGUGGAUGUUUCAACAGGAGUCGUGAUUGUGGAAGUCUCUGUUGUUGUAAAUGUUUCUGCAGCACUAGUGGUGGAUGUUUCAGCAGGAGUCGUGAUUGUGGAAGUCUCCAUUGUUGUAGAUGUUUCUGCUACACUGAUAGUAGAGGUUUCAGCAGGAAUUGUUGUGAUUGUGGAAGUCUCUGUUGUUGAAGAUAUUUCUGCUACACUAACGGAGGAUGUUUCAGCAGGAGUCCUGAUUGUGGAUGUUUCUUUUGUAGUAGAUAUUUCUGCCUCACUAGGGGUGGAUAUUUCAGGUGUAGUUGAUUUGAUUGUGGAAGUCUCUUUUGUUGUAGAUGUUUCUGCUUCACUGAUAGUAGAUAUUUCAGCAGGAGUAGUGAUUAUGGAAGUCUCUGUUGUUGUAGAUGUUUCUGCUGCACUAGUAGUGGAUGUUUCAGCUGGAAUUAUUGUGAUUGUUGAAGUCUCUGUUGUAGAUAUUUCUGCUGCACUGAUAGUGGAUGUUUCAGCUGGAAUUGUUGUGAUUGUGGAACUCUCUGUUGUUGUAGAUGUUUGUGUUACAUUGAUAGUAGAGGUUUCAGCAGGAAUUGUUGUGAUUGUGGAAGUCUCUGUUGUUGAAGACGUUUCUGCAGCACUAGUGGUGGAUGUUUCAGCAGGAAUUUUUGUGAUGGUGGAUAUCUGUGUAGUAUAUU
ensembl:lncRNA